UACGUAGGGUGCAAGCGUUAUCCGGAAUUAUUGGGCGUAAAGAGCUCGUAGGCGGUCUGUCGCGUCUGCUGUGAAAACCUGGGGCUUAACCCUGGGCUUGCAGUGGGUACGGGCAGACUAGAGUGCGGUAGGGGAGACUGGAAUUCCUGGUGUAGCGGUGAAAUGCGCAGAUAUCAGGAGGAACACCGGUGGCGAAGGCGGGUCUCUGGGCCGUAACUGACGCUGAGGAGCGAAAGCAUGGGUAGCGAACAGG
rnacentral:rRNA from 1 species